rnacentral:antisense_RNA from 1 species
AAUUAUGGCGGCUGUGCGCGGGGCACUUUCGAGUGCGUCGGGUUCCUAGAUCCCCGGUCUUCCACACCCGUGCACAGCUGCCACCCCA